rnacentral:rRNA from 1 species
GAUGAACGCUGGCGGCGUGCUUAACACAUGCAAGUCGAACGGAAAGGCCCAAGCUUGCUUGGGUACUCGAGUGGCGAACGGGUGAGUAACACGUGGGUGAUCUGCCCUGCACUUCGGGAUAAGCCUGGGAAACUGGGUCUAAUACCGGAUAGGACCACUUCUUGGAUGUUGUGGUGGAAAAUUUUUUCGGUGUGGGAUGAGCUCGCGGCCUAUCAGCUUGUUGGUGGGGUAAUGGCCUACCAAGGCGUCGACGGGUAGCCGGCCUGAGAGGGUGUACGGCCACAUUGGGACUGAGAUACGGCCCAGACUCCUACGGGAGGCAGCAGUGGGGAAUAUUGCACAAUGGGCGCAAGCCUGAUGCAGCGACGCCGCGUGGGGGAUGACGGCCUUCGGGUUGUAAACUCCUUUCGCUAGGGACGAAGCGUUUUGUGACGGUACCUGGAGAAGAAGCACCGGCUAACUACGUG